GGCCACAGCUAAGAAUGCGCGCGCGCGUGUGUCUAUUAUUAUUCCACUCAAAGUGCGGCACUUAACAUCAUAUCCUUGCAUUUGUCAUCUAUCAGUGACACACACACAUAACCCCAGCUGCUAGCUAGUAGUGUUAGUGUAUAAAUCUAACCUAUCUAGUAGCUAGCCUACCCUUUUAUCUAAUAAUCUUGGCCGCCGCCUGAUGAUGUGUGAAAGAAAAUACGCAGACCAUGCAUCUCUACAUCAUAUAGAGACAUAGUUUUUGCUAGCUUCAGAUCUGAUCGAGUGAGGUCUGAGGUAAGCUCAACGGUAGCAUGACACAGCAACUUGUUGCACUAGAUCAUUGCGUCAAAUAAAUAAAAAAAACGAUGACUAGGGCGUGUUGGUCACUACGUACUAGUGGGGUGGGGUCAUUUGGUGGAAAACUUAACAAGCAUGCAUGCUACAUGAGAUACCUUCGACUCACUCUCAUUUCAUAUUCUUCUUUUCUUUAUGGGAAACCACAGUAGUAGAAAGUUUUGUUUGAGUAGUUAUAUACAUGCUUGUAUUAUUUUGAACAUUAAUUUUCCGUGUCUCAGAACUGUCCGUAGUGAUGGCUAGAUGCCCGUGUCGCAUUAAUUUCAGGACUAGGCAGCAUCUAGGAUAGCAACUAAGGGAAAAAGAGCAUCAAGCUAAUAGAGACAAAGAAGAAAGUACAAUCCAUAAGCAUAUACUAGAAAGUGGAGGAGCCGUCCGGUGAUGAUUUCCAGUACACUACUACUCGAUUAAAGCAUGAAUAGAUGGAAUCUUUUGAUCAGCUAAGGCCUGUCACACUUAAGCCCUCUCACCAAUAUCCUAAUACGAACGGCAAGGUCACAUUCCAUAUUCUUUGUGCAUUAUUAUUGUUAAUUAAAUAAUCCACAUGCAUCACAUCCCCCUAGCUAGCUAGUCAUGCUGCCGUCCUUUCACCGCUCACGAUUGACACAUGCUCAACCUAGCAAAACCCGGAACCCACUAUUUAAUUUGGAGAGGAGAACUAAACCUCCAGCUGCCUCAAUUAUUGUUGAUAAAAGUGUAGAUGAUAUAUAUACAUAACUGGUUUCUAGACGGACAAGUUGACCUUAGAAAUGUUUCUUAUGCAUGCAUGGCAUCUUUGUAUAGUGGAAAAAGAAACUGCUCUGCAUGCAUGGCGUCGGUGUGAAGGUUGCUAGCUAGCAGGCUAUUCAAGAUGACAGCUACAAAUUAAAUAAAAUCACUUACUCCGUCCAUCAAGCUGCAUAUGUUCAGCAGCCUGACAGAUAGUAUAUAGUAUCAAGAAUUUGUGCGCACUUCGUGGAUGACAGUUGACAAAAAAAGACACAUGGUAUCAUAUUAGUGAAGCUACUACGAUAUAUAUACCGGACUUUGGAAUUGUAAGUACUCUAAUUACCAUAUUAGUGAAGCUACUAAGACCAUUAUAUUUUUCACUAGUUUUUUUUUUUGUCUUGGUAAGGUCAAUUUAUGGAUCUGACUUGUUCUUGCAAUCAUUCUGGACACCAGGGAUUUAUUGUAUAGGCAUUAAUCAUUUGCCUUGCAUUUUGUGUAUAUUAUUACUUUAUAUUAACAAGUUCUCGUGUUAACAGAACCAGUCCCUCAGGAUAAAUUACUAAUGCAAUGAAUUGAUGCAGAUGAAAGAACAGGUACAUUUCAAUAGUUCAUUAUACUCAUAUUUCUUAAAAUUUUUGUGGCAGGCCUAGGACCCAUAAACAAUAAAUAUUAACUCACUUAUAGGGAUGUAAUUGGCAGACCCAAUUCAAAUGUCAAUAGAUAAAAUAAAUUUUGAAAUUAGUUGACUCCUCGAAAUACGAUAUGUGCACUUAAUUGUUUUGGGACAUAGACAUGAGUCUCAGUUCUGAACUAGAAAAAAUUACACAAAAAUGCGCACCGAUUUUACAUUUUAGGUGUUCUGGAGAACCAUGCCAAGUUGCACCGACUGUGAUAAUCGUGUAGUUGACAGAAAACCAAAAAUUUUAAUUAAGCCUCUGAGAACUAGCUUGGAUAACCAACCGACAUGAGUUUUUUCUUUCACUUUCCCUAUAAUCUACCUAGCCAGUUGCACAGAAAACUACUAAUUGUGCAGGGAAAAAAAAGUGGAACCAGUAAUCACAUGGAUUGAAUGAACUAGUAGCACUACGCACUAGCUAGCUACUUACAGCGUCUUUUACUGAUUGUUGUUUCUACCUUAAUUAAUUUGCAUAGAUCGAUUAAACACUUUCAAUUAAUGAUCUUGUGAACCAAGCUUCUUAAUUAGGCUUCAGUCAUUGUAUACUUUUAUGGCCAGUAAACAUGCGAACAGGUAUAUUAAUUAUAUAUAUUUGGCACUCAAAAGUAUAAGAUACUACGUGCUAUUAAGUUUCAGACCUGUGGUUAGCCCGUCAAUUCCUCGACAGAUAUAGAUUAAUAUCCCCACACCACACACAUAUACACGCCCUGUAGGCCUGUACUCUAGUAAUAGUAUAUGUUUGUAUAAUAUCCAUACGCAUCUUUCAUGUCUAAUUGUUGCUUAUACGACUACACCAGCGACACACUCAUGCGUUUUCUAAGAUCAGGUACGUACAAUAUUGAACAGCAGGCGCAUUAGCCACCUGAAAAGUUAGAUGGCCUUUCAUCAUUGGGUAUGGCAUCUCUACUCCGGUAGCUGUGCUGUGUGUAGCAGUGUAGGUAUAUAUUAGCUAUAUAGAUACACCACUAUCUGGUAUAAGUAUUUACUCCCUCCAGUGCAGUAAAGGUAGUCGUUUAGGACAUAAUUGUGCAUACCAAGGAGUGAUUAAUUAUCAUAGAGUUUUCCCUGUUUGCCCCUAUUAAAUAAGGAUAUGAGUGCAUUAACGUCACUAAAACAAUCAGGCUUGAUUGGUUGCUGCAGCAGCUUCAAGACAUUCUAGAUUGGAGGUCUCAAGUUCGAUUCCUCUUAAAUGCAUAUUUUUUUGUGCAAUUACUAGGGGCAACAACGUCCAAAUCUCAGACCCACACGCGCUAUGACUUCUUUUUGUGCACGCUCGGUCACGCGCAGGAUGACUUCUUUUACUGCACCGGAGGGAGUAUGUUCUAAUCUACAAAGGAGAUUCCAUGCAUGCAUGGCUAUUGUUCAUUCAUGUCUUCACUUUUGCAUGAGAUUGUUGAUCACACACAAAGUAGCUAGCUAGACGAAGAUAAACAGAGAGCUAGGCAAGUGAAAGGUACGGUCAUGCGCGUGUAUAUAUGUACACUCCCUUUGUCCAGAAAAGAAAAGAAUGUAAUGUAUUAAGUUCAAAUAAUUAUAAAUAUUAUUAUUAGACGAUGACAUUAAUUACGAAAUGUACUUUUAUAAUAAAGUGAUUGAAAGCCAUAAACGUGGACAACAGGAAAUUCGGUCAACAUGAGCUACUUUAUGUGGCACACGCAAUUCAUACUUGAAUCCUUUCGUGUGUGUAGUCCUUAACAAAAAGAAGCCUAUGAUUGCGGUUGCUGAGAGAGCAUAUGCAGGCUUGCAAGGUAGGCCUAUAUAUCGAGUGGCAAAAGGAAGCAAGAUCUCCAAGCCAUUAUGAAAAGGAUCCAUUCCUCAGUGAUGGAGCAGCAAGAAAUACAGAGAUACAGCCGGUGAGAGAGAGAGAGAGAGAGAGGAGGGAGGACACUCGAAAGCCCUACUUGAUGCUUCCUGCAUGCCAUACGGCGAGGUAGCUACUAGGUAGCAGCUAGAGGUGAGGAUGGUGCAUAGCUUUCAGUGAUGCAUGGUAGGUGAAGGAGGCUCUUUCUAGGGCACCAUCCAUCUCGCUCAAGACUCUCUCGCUCGCAAUACGUACUUUUAUGCUCACGCAAUAGAUCCACACAGGCACUAGCUAGGCACUAGCUGUGUAGUACGUGUAUGUACUCAUGUACACUAUAUAUAUUUUUACAGAUGGAUGAGAUGAUGGAGAGAGCUCUGUUGCAUGCAUGUUCUCUUGUACACACGCUCGCUCGCCAUCUGCCGAUCUGCGCCAUUGCACUACUACUAGUGCACGGGAGCUAGCUAGGGAAUGGAAGAAAGCCAAGCAAAAGAGAAGGACGGAGCAGAAAAAGGCUUGGGGACAAUGAUGAGCUUGCAGGCCAUUUUCUGAGCCUAGGGGUGCAUAGGAAAAGAAAGAACAGAAAGGCGUGUCCGUGGGGGCUCCUGCCUAAGGCUAUGCAUGCUACUACGCAUCUCCAAAAGCUUUUGUGUGCGCGCGCGCGGAAGUGCACAAGGGAGUAGCAAGCUGCCAAGGUCCAUCACUAGCCAGUGAUAACUAACCAUCUAUCUAACACCCUCACUUUCUCUCUCUAGGAUGGAUGGGGGGAGAGAGAGGAGAGCUACUCUCUUGUCAAGUGGUGGUGGUAGUAGUGGUGGUGAUGGUGUGAGAGAGGGGUGAUGUGCCACCCCAGGACAUACACCCCUCACCUACAACAGGAACAAGACCUCGCUCGCUUACAUGUAUGCUGUCACACACACUUAACGCACAUGUAUAUUUUAUACAGAGACAACACACUAGCUAGAAAUACUACGAGAGCAUAUUAUAUAUAAUAUAUAUUAUAUAUAUUAUAAACAUGUAAGUGUGUGUAGUCCCACAUCUGUAUGGUACAACUAGUCCCUUUUCUAGCUCUUGAGUUCCUUUCAUCACCGAUGUUGGGAAAGCAAGGCAAGGGCUGGGGGCAAACAUGCACCAUGAGGGCGUGAUGAAGAAAAAAAAAGGAAUAAAGAUAGGGAAAAAAGCAUCACACAACGAAAAAGAGAAGCAUAUGCAUGAA
rnacentral:lncRNA from 1 species